rnacentral:lncRNA from 1 species
UUUUCACUGUGCUCAGUGUUGUCAUCACGAAGCCUCUCAUGCAGCGCGAUGUCAGGAUGGGCCCAUGCGCGGGUGGAAGGCAUGUGGGGGCCAUGUUGCCAGCUGCGGAUGGACAGGCUUCUGAUAUCAGGCUGUGACAGCACUGUCAUCUCCCAAGAAUCCAGCAUCCGUCUGCAUGGAUUGCAUGCCAUCCUUGAAUCCACUCACUUGCCCAGCCCCUGAACCAACUGAUGAAUGUGGUGAAGUCUUCCCUUCGUCACCCCAGGUGCAGCCACAGCCUCUGCAGCCACCCUGGGGGAGAGACAGCUCCAGGACCUGCUAAGGUGAGGUGUUCUGGAAGGGUCUCUGCUCCUAGCAGUCACUGGCAGCUUGCCCAAAUUGGAGAAGUUUAACAUCUCUUUUCUCUGAGAAGUAAAAUGUGUUUCUUUGGUGGAUGUGAAACCAACAAACCACUGUGGUGCCUCUCUACAUCUGAAGGAUGAGCCAGCCAAGCCAGGGGAACUGACGACCCCACACACGUCUGCACUGCUGUGGCCGUGUUGAACACGGACUCCUUCUUCAGGGCAGCCUUGGGCCAUCGGAGGGCUGCUGUAUGCAGUGACGGCCACCAAGUGUCCUUGGCCAGGGGAGUGAUUUACAGGGACUGAGAUCCUGACUUGUGACCCAGACACGAAUGCAUCCUUGUUCCAUUUUGUUAUUGCUCAACCGUCAUCUGGCCAUCCCCAAAGCCCACCUCUGUGAGAAAGGCCAGUGCUUGUCCUCGUGACACCCCUGAGACCUCGAUGGAGCAAGUCCCAGGUAAGAAGGAUCCAGGUCACUAACACACAGGGACACUUUGCUCCUGGACCUGCUGGCUGUCCCUCUAGUCAUGGAAGGGUUUAUGCUCACAGCAGUCCGAGACUGGAAAUGUUCUUCCGUAGAGUGGGAAGUCACUUCAUC